GGGGUUGUAGUUAAUAAUAACGUUUAAUUUGCAAUUAAAAAGAACUAAUUUUAGUCUUCCUC
rnacentral:tRNA from 1 species